AACGCGAAGAACCUUACCUGGGUUUGACAUCCUUUGAAGUUUGUAGAGAUAUAAACGGCUCGCAAGAGACAAAGAGACAGGUGCUGCAUGGCUGUCGUCAGCUCGUGUUGUGAAAUGUUGGGUUAAGUCCCGCAACGAGCGCAACCCCUGUCUUUGGUUGCCAUCAUUAAGUUGGGCACUCCAGAGAGACUGCCGUCGUUAAGACGGAGGAAGGUGGGGAUGACGUCAAGUCCUCAUGGCCCUUAUAUCCAGGGCGACACACGUGAUACAAUGGUAGGUACAGAGGGUAGCGAAGUAGUGAUACGGAGCCAAUCUCAAAAAAGCCUAUCUCAGUUCGGAUUGGAGUCUGCAACUCGACUCCAUGAAGUUGGAAUUGCUAGUAAUCGCGGAUCAGAACGCCGCGGUGAAUACGUUCCCGGGCCUUGUACACACCGGCUAC
rnacentral:rRNA from 1 species